rnacentral:lncRNA from 1 species
AGACCGCAGUGUGAUUGAUCCAUGUUCAUAUUACAUGAUGCAAAAGCACAAAAACGGACUGCCAUGGUGUGCCACCAGAAACUUUACUUAGGAGAUUGGCAAAAGAUGGAAGCAUUUAAGUCUACAGUUCUCACCUCCUGGGUAUCUCUGCUGUUUGUCACUGGUUUGUUUUCGUUAUACUCAAGAAUAAUGUGCUUCAAUAGAGUGUUGGGAAUGUCCUUUACAAUGUGCCACUUGACGGGGAAGCAGCCAGUCCACUUGUCUUGCUGCCAGUAUUCAACUGUCUUGUUAAAAUCAACCUGGCCAACCAUCUCAGCAAGUCCAAUGAACUGACCGCUGGUGUUGACCUGAGAAAAAAGAGGAACAAGGAAAGAUGCAUCAGAUCAGCAACCACUAUGAAGACUGUUCAGAUAGAAAAAAACAAGCUGUUUUAGCAGCACGGAACUAUUAUGCACUUACAGAGAACAAUAGAAAUACAGGUGAAUUGCUUGAUUUGUCUUUAGCUGCUUGAUAAGCAGCAUCAAGCCUUUUAUUUCCACUGGGGGUGCUUGCCCAAACAUUGUACUUGAUGCUCUUGUGAACAUCAUCCUCGCUGUAAGAUUUUAUAAUGAAGAACUUGGCAUCUGAGUAAGUUUCAGCAAAGUCAGCCUUAUUGUACUGAUCCUGCACAACUGCAUUUGAGGCAUCGCCAGUAGGAAGCUCCUGUCCUUUUGCAGGUGCAACAGCAGCUUCUCCAGUACCCUGCUCAUUUUUAAUGGCAGUGCUUCUUGGCCCUCUCUUCAGCUCAUUCAAGCCAUCUAUGUUCUCAUUACCGAAACGAUAUGAUCCAUAGGUUUUUGGUCUGGGCUUGUACUUUCCAUCUGACAGCACAUUCCACCCACCAUACAUACCAGAGCCAUAGAGGUGAGAUCCAUACCAAUAGUCAGGUCCAUAUGCAUUUGCAUUGUACAUGACACUAGAGUACAUGGAACUCAUGUACCCAGGUGUCUGUGGCCCCAUUGCAGAGUUUUGCCCAAGCAAUCCCUGCAAGAUAUGUCUCCAUGUUAAGAACAGGCUAUUUCAAUACAUAAAACAUAUGAGCUUACAGAUAUGCAGAAUACAAAAUUUUCACUUUGACCUGGCAAAAUUAAUUAUGGAGUGUGCCCUCGGAUAACCCCAAUGAUAUGCAGCUAAUUACAAUGACAUACAUCACAAACCAUCCAAAUAGGUGCUUUCACAAAUGAUAUCAAACCAUAUUGGUAGGAUCAAGCAACAAGCAGCAAUACUCAAAAUUAUUGAAAAUAUAUAGCGACUCAUAAUUGCUGAAAAUCUGUUAUGCAGACAUCUGAACAAAGACCAGAAAGCUACACAGAAAUAGCUCUCUGGGGAAGAACAAUAUGCACACCAGAAAUGAAAAACAGUAACGAAUUCUGAUUCUACGACUGUACCUUGGUUUUAGGAUUAGAAGCAGUUGAUGUAGUAUUUCCAACAGGGAGUUUCUGCUGAGUAUGACCACCAUACGAUGGAUAAGCAGCUUUAUCACCAUUGUUCUGAUAACUAGCUGAACGCCCACUUGGUUUCACGGGGUAUGUCGUUUUCUUCAGACCUGUUGAACCAUCAGCGCUGGUUGAAUUGGCUUUGGAAGCAUUCACUAAUCCAGGCUUCUGAUAAGCAGCAGGUGCAGCAGAAGCAUCCUUCUGCGGUAAAGGAUCUGAUUUGCCAGCAUUAGGCUUGUACGCUGGCUUAGUGGUGCUAGUAGUCUGUGGCUGGAGAAACGUGGAUGGGUACUGGUAAUGCUGAGAUCCGUACAUCUGCCCAUCAUACCCAGAUGAAGCAACACCAUACUGAGGAUAGCAAUACAUGUCCCCAUAAGCACCCUGCAGAAAACCAACAGGCUAAACUAAGUCAUCCUAACACACUUCACAUGCAGCGAAAAUCUUCAAGAUGCUUUACAGUGGCGAUUAGUUUUGCCGGGUCGGCCAUCCAAUUAAAGCAGGUAGACCCCAAGUGUCAGCAAGGUAUGCAAAGUAUACAGGAUAUAACACUCACAGGGUUAAGUGACUCUGCUCCGUCAAGGCCCACAUACACUGAAUAAUCCCCCCAGCCUGCAAAUCCCAGAAGGCAUUGCUAUCAGACUAUCUCCAAUUUCGAACAAAUAUUUAUGAUUUAACUACAAAUUCGCACUGCGAUAACUAAUUCAAUAGUAGAAAUAGACAGCAACAGAGUAAAUGGUGCCUUGGUGCCUUGGUGCCUCACCUCCAUAGUAAUACUGGUAGGCGUCAGCGCCAGCACCAUACAUGUUGGCGUUCUUGUAGUCCUGCAGCCCCAUGGCUGGCCACUGCCCCGCCGACGCCACCUGAGGGCUUGGAGACGCCACCACGCCGUUCAGCCUGCCAUUGGGCGCUGCCGAGACCUGCACCGUGAUACAAAUUCAGACCAUGGAAAGCCCACCACAACAACACCAUCACGGCCGCGCAACAAGAUGGUACAGACUAUAGAGAGAAGCGGCGGGCCAUACCUUCCUCUGCGCCUCUUUGCCCUGGCCGGCCACGCCCUUUGGAUCCAGCGACAGCUUGUGCAGCAAAUCCGCGGCGUCUGCAUCACGGCAGGUCAAGGGGGAACCGAUACGGACAUGUCCGAAAUAUAAACAGGCAAACUAAUAAUCCAGAAAAUCACGGGGUUUGAGUGAAAUUCGAAGCACCAGGAGCGAGUACGCCCCCCAAAACACACGGAAACAAAAUCCCCUACGCUCCGGUCGCGGCCGUAACCUCACCCGACACCCCCAGCGAGGAAGCGCGCCUACGGCCUCCCCCCAGCAAAAACCCCUCCCGAAUCCCGGCGGGAACCUCCGCGGAACCGAGGAGACCUGACCGGGCACCGGGAGAUCCGGCCGCGGGCGACACGCCCCGACACCCGCCCGCUAAAACCCAACGGAAAUUCGAAGAGAGAGAUAAAAAAAAAAGCGCAGCCAAACCAGGGGAACUGCGCGACGGGCAAAAGGAUACGGUCGGCGGCGCGAGCGGCGGCGGGGGCCAUGGCGGCGGUGCGGUCCGGNNNNNNNNNNNNNNNNNNNNNNNNNNNNNNNNNNNNNNNNNNNNNNNNNNNNNNNNNNNNNNNNNNNNNNNNNNNNNNNNNNNNNNNNNNNNNNNNNNNNNNNNNNNNNNNNNNNNNNNNNNNNNNNNNNNNNNNNNNNNNNNNNNNNNNNNNNNNNNNNNNNNNNNNNNNNNNNNNNNNNNNNNNNNNNNNNNNNNNNNNNNNNNNNNNNNNNNNNNNNNNNNNNNNNNNNNNNNNNNNNNNNNNNNNNNNNNNNNNNNNNNNNNNNNNNNNNNNNNNNNNNNNNNNNNNNNGGGGGUAAAACCCAGAGAAACCCUCGCGGUGGAUGGGGGGCGGGGUGGGGUGGGGGUGGGGGGAGGGCACCGCGGCGUGGGAGAAAAGAAAGAAAGGGGAGGGAGGCGAGGGAAACGAGUGGAGGGAGGACGGCGUUAAGUAUUUCGCGUCGCUGUGGGGUUUGGAGGUUUUAAUGCUUUCCUUCCCGCUUGCUUUGGAUUUUUGCGAUCGGAUUUUAUUACUGCUCUCCGCCCGUCCGUCGAUCGAUCCAUCGCGUGGGCCUCCUGGGCCUUUUGGGCUUUUCGGUGGAGGACAAACAAAUGGGGGGGCCGCUUCCGUGCACACGUUUCGAUCUCACAACUUCAGAUGAUACCGCUAAAAAAACUCAACAUAGAAAAAGGAAACAGCAUCAUGUGGUUCCACUAAGAAUUUCAACCCUGGUGUGGUGUAAGAAACAAAAAUUGUUCACCAAAAGUCUCUUGGACACGACGUCUGCUGAGUACUAUGCGUGACAGCGUGAGUACGUUUUUUUAGAUACAUGUGCAUGUAAGUACGUUUUGUUUCUAGUAGUACCCAAUGAUGAUGAGAAAUGGUUCACGGCUUUCCGGGGUGAGAAAAAUAGGCUCUAAAAUAUACAUCUAUUCCAUAAAAAUAGAAAAUAUGCAUCUAUCUUCCUUCUCUUCUGUAAUAAAACGAUUUAAAGAUGACACGAUUUAUCCUGACUUCUAUGGUUUGUUGUAUCCAAAACGAGAAGAACUUCACGGUUUUCGGUUUUCGGUUUUCAAAGGCCCGUGGACAUGAGCAAAGCAAGGUCAAGCCCCAAAAUUUGUAGUUCCAUCGUAAAUGGCUUAUUAUAAAGAUCUAAAACAAUAUGGAGAAAAAAACAUGUAUAAUUAUUCUAAAGAUUUAAAAUGUGCGGACAAACCACCGGAGCAGCAGAGCAGUGAAAGAAUACGGUCGGCGGCGAGGGCCAUGGAGGAGGUCCGGGUCACGGCGCGUGCCGGCGCGAAGGAUAAAACCCAGAGAAACCUUCGCGCUGGAUACGGAGGGGAGGGAAGGCGCCGCAACCUGAGAGAAAAGAAAGAAAUAAAAGGAAGAAGCAAGCGAGAGAAACAAGUGGAGGAAGGGGUAUUUAAGUAUGUCAUCAUGGGGUUUCGAGGGUUUUAAUGAUUUCCUUUUGGCUUGCUUUGGACUAGUGUUGGGGGGCUGAUUGCGCGUCGCCUGAGAUGAAGGUGUGUGCUUGUUUUUUCAUUUUUCUUGAAGAAAAAAGAAAGAACACAAUACCCUCACCUCCAUCUUACCAAAAAUAAACUUUUCUGACCUUAGCCAAACAGCAAAUGACGGCCCUGUUUGGAUCCUCAAGUUAAAGUUAGUUUUAGUUAGUUGGGUCUCAAAUAACCCAAAAGGAUCUAAACAAGAUGGGUUAGUUUGGGUUAGUUGGAUCUAACCCACCCAAAAAAAUAGCCCACACUAGAGGAGCUUAUUUGGGUUAGUUUUUCUGGGCCCACUGAAAAAAUAGUAAAAAACUCGCCCCUCCCGCACCAGAUCCCUUCUCCCCACCCACCUCGCAUGACUCCUCCCCAUCGCGCCGCUCGCCCAAGCGUCGCGCCGUGCGCCGCCUGAACCCCGGGAGCGCCCUUCUGCGGCCCCGCUCGCCCUCCUCCGGCCGCUGCUCGCGCUGCUCCCUCCUCACCGGCCACCGCUCGCCCUCCUCCGGUCGUCGCUCGCCCAGGGCCGGCCCGGGCCCCCCAAAACCAGCCCCCCCCCUGAGGUAUGCAUGUAGUAGGAGGGCGCCAGGAGUAGGAGGCCCGAUCGGCAAAAAAGAGAAAGAAACCAGGCCCAAUCGGCAAUAGCGAUGCCCGAUCCCAACGGCCAGCGAUCGCGAGAUCGUUCCCAGGAAACAGCCAGAGAUCCUCUGGAAAAAAAGAAAGAUAGCGAAUUAGAGAGCAAUCAGCGCCUGGACGCGAUUCCCUUCCUGUUACGUUCGACGCCUUUCUUCCAUCACGAAGAGUUCCCAGGUCCCAGCCCUACGCCCCUACCUGCUAGCCGCCGAUGCCGUGCACGCACAGACGCACUCCGACCUCGCCAUCCCCUGGUAAUUUCCUUUCUAAUUUGAUUAUGUUGGUCGUUGUUUUCAGUUCUAGGGCCUCCAUCUUCACCCCAGGGCCUGCUUCACCCUCCUUUGGUCUUUGCUCAAUUGCUCUCCUCUCGGCAAUCUGCAGACUCUAGACACGUACAGACUACUGAAGUUUCAUCGUCAGGAUUCUGGACAUUAGGUAUUGAGGUAUAUUAUUCAUACAAAAAAUUCUUUGGACUUUGGUUUACAGCUAGCACCGUUCAACAAUUGAUUCAAUAUUAUUUUUUCAGCAUUGUGUUUGUUCUCAUGGCGCCCAGCAAGAGGAACUAUCCAUCGGGUAGCCACAAAAGGAAAAAAAGGAGAAAGAGAAUAAACUUAUAAAGUCACAGCGCGGAGGUAUUCGCAAUUUUUUCAUGCCAAGUGAUAUUGGUGCCUGUAUUACUCCGCCGGACCCAGCUGAUGCGUUGGCGAUUGUUGCCAUUGUGGAAGAGCAACAAACUAAUGAAAACUCGGACUCUAAUCAGCAAGAAGAAAAUAUCAACUCCAACAUCGGCGAUGACAAUGUAAGUGGCUCCGAGAAUGUAAGUAAUUCGUCGGAUGCACAUGCCCAACCUGCUAGUGUUGAUGAACAACCAGUUUAUACUGCCGAUAUUUAUGAUCCAAAAAACUGGGAUAAUCUUGAUAAUAAAGCAAGAGAUAUCUUAGUUGAGAAAGGGCCUAUCAGAGAGGAAAAAAUGGAAUACCAUGUAGAUGAAACAGGAAGACAUUUUUCGUAUGCUCAUUAUCAUAGAAAAUUAAGCAAUGGAGAGGAACAUGAUAGGAAAUGGCUAGUUUAUUCAAAAAAUGUCAAUAAAAUUUUUUGUUUCUGUUGUAAGAUCUUCAAGUCUAGCACCAACAGGAGUCAGAGUUCCUUAGCACAUGAUGGACUAGGACAUUGGAGGCAUAUUAGUGAGAAGCUCAAAGAACAUGAAAAUAGCAUUGAGCAUAUUAAUAACAUGAACAAGUGGAAUGAAUUGAGAGUUAGACUGAGAAAACAGGAAACUAUUGAUAAGGAUUUGCAACAUCAAAUAACAAAGGAGAAAGAACGUGUCAGGCAAGUUCUGUUCAGAAUAAUAGCAGUUGUGAAAUAUCUUGGUAAACGCAACUUGGCUUUUCGUGGAAGUAGUGAGCAACUUUACAAGGAUGAUAAUGGUAAUUUCUUAGCUUGCAUUGAGAUGAUUGCAGAAUUUGAUAUGGUAAUGCAAGAUCACCUUAGACGUGUUGAGAACAAGGAAAUCCAUUAUCACUAUCUCAGUCAUAAAAUACAAAAUGAGCUGAUAUCUCUUUUGGCUUCUGACAUCACAUGUUCUAUCAUAAAGGUUGUUAAAGAGGCCAAGUAUUUCUCUGUUAUCCUAGAUUGUACCCCUGAUGUUAGUCAUCAAGAACAAAUGACCUUUUUAAUUCGAUGUGUUAAUCUGUCUGAUGGCAAAAUAAAAUUUGAGGAGUACUUUCUGGGGUUCUUGAAAGUGGAUGACACUUCUGGCUUAGGGAUUUUUAAAGUACUGCUUGAUUCUGUUGAGUCUUCUGGCCUAAAUAUUCAAGAUAUAAGGGGUCAAGGAUAUGAUAACGGUUCUAAUAUGAAAGGAAAAUACCAAGGGGUACAAUCUAGGUUACUUGAUAUGAAUCCAAGAGCAUUAUAUAUGCCAUGUGCUUGUCAUAGCCUAAAUCUCACUCUCUGUGAUAUGGCAAAAUCAUGUGAGAAAGCUGUUUCAUUUUUUGGAAUUGUUCAACGCAUAUAUGUAUUAUUUGCUGGCUCUACAAAAAGGUGGAAUGUUUUGCUUAAACAUGUUCCUAGUUUGACCGUGAAAUCAUUGUCCAAUACUCGUUGGGAGAGUAGAAUCAAAAGUGUUACAGCAAUAAGAUAUCAAGCCGCUGAGUUAAGGUCACCUUUGUCUGAGUUACGUCAUGCUUCUGACACUGAUCCUAAAGAUAAAAGUGAUGCCAAAAAUUUAUUUGAUGCACUUGGUCGCUUUGAGUUUCUAGUUGGUAUGAUUAUCUGGCAUGAUGUUCUAUUUGCUGUAAAUAAAGUUAGCAAGAUGUUGCAAUCGUCAACCAUGUGCAUUGACUCCGCUUUGAAGCAAAUAAAAGGUAUAACAAAAUAUUUUGAGAAGUACAAAGAUGAGGGGUUUUCUUCAAGUCUGACCAUCGCUAAAGGUAUUGCAACUGAAAUGGGAAUAGAGCCAUUGUUUCCAGUAAAACGUCAUGCUAAGAGGAAGAAACAGUAUGAUGAAAGUGAUUGUCAAGAAGAAAUCUUGGAAGCUGAGAAGGCUUUCCAAGUUAAAUAUUUUAAUGUUUUGGUUGAUAUGGUGAUCACUUCUUUGAAUGAUAGAUUUAAAGAACUCAUGGUCUUUAAAGAUAUACUCGGAUUUUUAUUGAGCUCGGGCACUCUCACGUCAUUAAGUGACAAUGAACUUGAAAUGUUGCACAAAAUUUGCAGAAACUUUCUCUCUUAAUGGUUCAUCUGAUGUUGAGGUAUACGAUCUUAUUUCUGAAUUGAAGAUUAUGAGAUUCACUUUGCCAGAUGGCGCAAUGUCUGCUAUGGAGAUUUUCAGGCAUGUCAGAGAAGUUGAUUGUUACCCCAAUAUAUCCAUUGCCUAUCGCAUCUUAUUUACUGUGCUUGUGACGGUUUUCAAAGUUGAAAUUAUUGAAGAAUUAUUUGAGGUCAACCAUGACUCAAGAGAGGUUAAAUGGUUUGGCCACAUUAUGCAUCGAGAAGAAAUUAUUGGAUGAGAUUGACAUCGACCCCAUCAUAAGUGACUUUGCAUCGAGGAAUGUUAGAAGAAAAUUUUAAGGUAUUAUGUAUUUUUUUUGAUACACAUACAGAUUUUGGAUUUAAUGUUACUAAUAAUAAUAAUAAUAAUAAUAAUGGCUUGUAUAUUAGGGCCCCCCCAAUUUUUAGUUCGCCCCGGGCCCCCGAAAUCUCAGGACCGGCCCUGCGCUCGCCCUCCUCCGGUCACCGCUCGCGCCGCUCCCUCCUCACCGGCCAUCGCUCACCCUCCUCCGGUAGCUUUCCUGCCUUCUAAAUGAUUUUGUUAUGAAAAAGAAAGUGGAUGCAACCAUGGUUGCAAAUUAAUUUGUUUCUAGUGCUGCAGAGUUUUGGAUGAAACAAAAAUAGAGAUGCUGGCCAUGUGUAGCUUCACUCAAAAUACUACGAAUGUGUUUAUGUCAAUUGUGAGCGGGAGAAGGCCACACAAGAGCCGGUCACGCCAAAUCCGGUAGGAAAUAGGAUCUAGAGUAGUCAAAUGAUUGAGAAAGAGCAUUUAUUUUCAAUCUAGCCCUACCAUCCAAACAACUCUUUGAUUAGAGUUAGUUUAGGGUUAGUUCAGGGUUAGAAUCUAACUCUAACUUCUAACCGAGUUAGAGUAUCCAAACAGAGCCGACAUGUGACCUUCACAUCUAUCUUGAAAAAAGAAAACUCAUUUUCAUUUGUGGUGCCACUUGGUAUAGCUGGUUGCUUGCCCUUCCUUCCCCCCUUAUUAAUGGGUUUAAUUUCUGUGCUUUACUGCUGUCCGUAGAUUGAUCGCGCGGCCCUCUUCCGUGAACAAGUUUUCAUCUUCUUUUCUUUAGAAGGUGCACACGUUGGAUCUGUGACUGACUUGUGAGGUGCUAAAGAACUUCAGGUGAUCUACUGUUAAAAAAAAGGCGACCCACUGCUCCAAAACUUAACAACAAAAACUACUGCUAAAAAAAUAGAUUAACUCCAAAAUGACAUUAGUCAUCUAAACACUCUUAUAUUUCUUUACGGAGGGAGUACCCUCCUAUACACUUGUAAAAAAGAGAAAUAACAUGUGGUUCUAAGAAUUUCAUUUUUGUUUGUGUAAAAAGACAAAAUUGUUCACCAAAAGUUUCUUGGACACGGUAUCAGCUGAAUACCAUGCGUGACAGCCUGAGUACGUUUUGUUUCUUCUACCCGAUAAUUGAAGAGAGUUCAGAACUUCUACAGUCUGUUAUAUCCAAAAUGAGAAGAACUUUCACGGUUUUGAAAAUGUAAAGGGGAGGUUCCAAAAUUCUUAAACAUUUUAGAUGUUAUAUUUGAAAGAUAUAGGUUUUUCUGAAGAAAAAAACAUGUGCAAUUACACUCAUUUUUCAGAAAAUUUUAGAACUUCUCACACCACUUCAGGUUAUUAUUUUUCGAAAACUGAAAGCUCAACGUAGGAGAAGAUUGUUGAAGAAAACAUGAGACGCAUCUGACACAUAGUACAUAAACACUGAAACAGACAAGUUACUUCUUGCAAAACCAGUACAAAUCACCACACCUAGGUACAUUUUCUACCGACGACAAGAUAAAAAAAGACAACACACCACCACCCCAGAUCAACAAAUGAUGAUCUCUAUCUCCUACCAGCCGAACUCAACUCCAAGAUAGAGAAAUACUAAUACAGGGGGGAAAUCUCAAGAGAAACCUAAUCAUAUGCCUCAAACUUUCUGCAAAAACACCUACGGAACCCCAACAGAGCCCUGAUUGCCUCCAACAGCUGAACCGCGCCAGCCUCCUCCAAAACUCCCAAGCUGUCAUGUCACCUUACUCACAACUCGACAGACAAAAAAAUCAGCAGCCAUUUGCGACAGCCAAGCUUGCGGCUGUGGGGUUAGCAUCUUCCGGGGCAACGCCACUCGCGGCAGCCGCCACCACAUUGUCUUCCGCCGCAGAUUUGUUCUCUCCGGUAACUUCAGGCUUCUGCGAUUCCUGCGCAUUGCCGGAAUCAUUUUCAGUGUUGUCAACAGUAGGCAGCAGCUUCGGACUCGUGAUCUGCAUAAUAAUCAAUAAAAGAAGUUUGAUGAGUAACAUGACAGUUUUAACAACUUCAGCCUUUCUAAUAGGUGACAAGUUGAUUGAAUCAGGGAAAGGACUCAAGGCUGAAAGGAGGUCAUGCAAACUACCAAAGCGGAAAAUGGAAGUCCUUACACUUUACAAGGAAGAUGGCUAAAACAGUGCUCACACCACACAAAAAAACUAGGAACACUCUAGAAUGGCAUUUAACUACAAUGUAAGCUAGCACAAAGAAUUACCCUUCACCAGAUCUAAGAGGCUCGCACCAACAACCUAAACUAACGUGCUAUGUAUUUACCUUCUUCAGUUGAUGCUGCCGCUGUGAUUUCCUCUCUUGCAUUAUCUUCUCACGGUUAUCAUAAAAGCUGAAGUCAUCCAGGAUGGAUGUUUUGGAGACAUGAUCCUUGAAAAUCUUCAACACCUGAAGGCCUUGCUCGAGCUUGACCUGCAGUAGGUAUGGGAAAGAAAGACAUUAAGCACAGUUUGACACCAGCAUGCAAAAUUUGCGAACACCUAUAAAGAUGUCAUAAUAACAGCAGCAUGCAUCAGACUUAUUAUGGCUUCUUGGUGUUUCAACAAUGAAAUGUACAGGCACUAUUCUCACCUCCUGUGUAUCUCUGCUGUUUGUCACAGGUUUGUUUUCAUUAUACUCGAGAAUGAUAUGCUUUAACAAGUUGUUGGGAAUAUCCUUGACAAUGUGCCACUUGACAGGGAAACAACCAGUCCACUUGUCUUGCUGCCAGUGUUCCACCGUCUU